rnacentral:rRNA from 1 species
UACGUAGGGUGCAAGCGUUAAUCGGAAUUACUGGGCGUAAAGCGUGCGCAGGCGGUUGUGCAAGACAGAUGUGAAAUCCCGGGCUCAACCUGGGAAUUGCAUUUGUGACUGCACGGCUAGAGUGUGUCAGAGGGGGGUAGAAUUCCACGUGUAGCAGUGAAAUGCGUAGAGAUGUGGAGGAAUACCGAUGGCGAAGGCAGCCCCCUGGGAUAACACUGACGCUCAUGCACGAAAGCGUGGGGAGCAAACAGG